UAUUUCCAGUAGGGAGUCAAUACUUAAGUAAUUUGAAAUGACCACAAAUCUUGUUCUGAGCUUUUUACAGUAUUAUUUUAAAUAAAAAAAAUACAACACAUGUUCAUCUUAAACAGGUUGGAACCAGGAUUCUACUGAAAAUGCAGAUGGGGUCACUAUAAAUGAUGAAGAGUAUUUUACACUCCACCUCACACCCUGUGAACCACCAGAGGACGCAAACAGUCAAAAGGAGGCAAUCACACAGGCACAGGAGGUUGGGGAGGCAAGGACCAUGGAGCUGGAGGAGGCAAGGACCUCGCAGGUGGAUGAUAUUCAGACCACCAAGGGAGAGGUUGACCCACUGAGCAACCCAGAGGGACAAGUGGAGCAAGUGAACAACAAGACCAACAAAGAUGUCAACACAGGGUCCGCCAA